UUUCCACACUCCUUAAGCUAGUUUGACUGUGAUUGUGCAUUUUAGAUCGCUUCAUGAGUUCGCUGCGUUUUGCUGUGAAUUCAUUGUUGCCCUAAUUUGUAUAGUCAUGGGUGUCAAAUUGGCGAGUUACGUGUGGUAAAUGGAUGACGAUCAAAUUUUGUUCUGUGAACUUUGCCGUAGAUGUGAUGCUGUUUGUUUAUAGAUUGAUAAUGAUUGUCGAACAAUU
ensembl:snoRNA F25H2.14 ncRNA